rnacentral:piRNA from 1 species
UUUUAGUUUUUGGAAAUAGCU